CAAGGUACGAUCAUCAGUUAGUGUCUACAAUCUUCUUUCUCGGAAAAUAGGGGAUUUAUAUCAGCGUGCCAUCACUGCAAGGAAUCAACACCAUCUCAACGGCGGCAACAGCGGAUACAGAACAACUGAUGCGGCCUGAAGUGGACCUCAUUCAACCUUAAUUCCAGGAUAACUUUUCUUUUUGUUGCUCAAUAAAAGGAAUAUCCCUCUUCGUAAAUCUAUUAUUUCGCUUUCCCAUGAAGCUGUAGUUCUCUCCAAAUAAUUUUGAGAUUACACUAAGCAGAAGCUGCUAAACAUGCUGUGGAAGCUGAUGCAAAAUCAAACAGUAAAGUGGAGGUUGCUCUGUGUUGCCAUUGUUGUAUGAAUAUAAUGCGACCUUCUGCUAUUGUAUGAAGAAAAGUAUGUGCAUAACUGCAUACUUGCAGGAAUAGAAGAUAGAUAAAUAUGACCUUGCGUACAGAUUGUUGUGUAGAUAAAACUGACCUUGCUUACAGAUUUUGUUGUAUGUAUUUUUUUUGUAUAGUUGACCGAGAUAGAUAGAAUAUGGUAGAAGAAAGAGGUGCAGAUUGUUGUAUGGCCAUAUUGUACAUGGUGAUCAUUGUUGUAUUUAUUUUACAUAGAUAGAAUAAUGAUGUAGAUAUAGAGGGUUUUCGCAUAUGUACCAAUUUUCAUAGGAACUAUGAUUAUGUAUGACUGGUAUAUGGUGCACAAAUCAGUCAUAUACUCAUUUA